rnacentral:rRNA from 1 species
AUACGGAGGGAGCAAGCGUUAAUCGGAAUCACUGGGCGUAAAGGACGCGUAGGCGGGUUUGUAAGUAAGGUGUGAAAUCCUACAGCUCAACUGUAGAACUGCACUUGAAACUACAGACCUAGAGUAUGGAAGGGGCAGAUGGAAUUAGUGGUGUAGGGGUAAAAUCCGUAGAUAUCACUAGGAAUACCGAGAGCGAAGGCGAUCUGCUGGGACAUUACUGACGCUGAGGCGUGAAAGCGUGGGGAGCAAACAGGAUUAGAAACCCGGGUAGUCC